ACAUACAACCAUAGGGUGUGGAGAACAGGGCUUCCCAUCUGCUCAGCCAUACUUAAGCCACACGCUAGCUGGUUAGUAGUUAGGUAGGUGACUACUAGUGAAUCCUAGCUAUUAUAUAUU